GAUGAACGCUGGCGGCGUGCCUAAUACAUGCAAGUCGAGCGAACGGGCGAGAAGCUUGCUUCUCUGAUGUUAGCGGCGGACGGGUGAGUAACACGUGGAUAACCUACCUAUAAGACUGGGAUAACUUCGGGAAACCGGAGCUAAUACCGGAUAAUAUUUUGAACCGCAUGAUUCAAAGGUGAAAGACGGUCUUGCUGUCACUUAUAGGUGGAUCCGCGCUGCAUUAGCUAGUUGGUAAGGUAACGGCUUACCAAGGCAACGAUGCAUAGCCGACCUGAGAGGGUGAUCGGCCACACUGGAACUGAGACACGGUCCAGACUCCUACGGGAGGCAGCAGUAGGGAAUCUUCCGCAAUGGGCGAAAGCCUGACGGAGCAACGCCGAGUGAGUGAUGAAGGUCUUCGGAUCGUAAAACUCUGUUAUUAGGGAAGAACAUAUGUGUAAGUAACUGUGCACAUCUUGACGGUACCUAAUCAGAAAGCCACGGCUAACUACGUG
rnacentral:rRNA from 1 species